GCCUGCAGAAAGCAGAGGCCUUCUGAGCAGCCAUGCUGCUACCACCAUUCUGGAAAUGCAGAGGUCUGUCCCUCAGGCCUCAGUGGCUGCAGAGAUAUGGGAACAGCCAACCAUCAGGAAGUCUCUCUUUGGGGUCAAAUCCUUUGCCAGUGUGGAGCCCUCAGAUUGAGACUACAUAACUAAAGCAAUUACAGGUCUUCUGUGGUUUGGUUUUUUUUGGUUUUGUUUUUUUUUGUUUUUUUGGGGAUUUUUUUUUUGUUUGUUUGUUUUUUGGUUUUGUUUUUGUUUUUUUGUUUUGUUUUGUUUUGGUCUUUUGUUUUUUACUGUUCUUUUCCCAAAAAUGAUUUGUAGUUGUGUGUGCAGCACUUUGCCCUAAUAUGUGUGUGCUCUACAAUAAAAACCAAAUCUAAUAUAUUUUGAAACAAUUGUCUGAUGCUGUGGUGAGAGAAAGCCUGACCUUGGUUUUUCCCUUAAUUUAUUUUCUUGACCUUCCAACUGGAUUUGGAGAAAUCUAAUUUAUUGCCCACCAGUCCUCUGAAGACUGGUCACUGACAUCCUUUGAUUGAUGGCUAAAGGUGGACUUGCCCUUGCCCACUGCCCUCUCCCCUUCAAGGAGGAUGGCCUUCAGUAAACCAUGGUGGCCAGAGACACACCUCAUUGAAUUCUAGAAGAUACAGUCUCUCCCUGGCUUGGUAGAGAGGCUGCAGGCCAGAAUAAACACCGCAGAUGGAGCUGGAGCAGGGAGAGGGGCGCUUAGGUAGAGGGCAUGGCCAGUCUUGUACUCAACAGCCAGGCUCUUGAACUCCCUGGGUAGAACAUUGGUAGAUGAAACAGGUAGGAUAGGAUGAGACUGGGGCUCAAUGGGCUUCAGUCCACUGAGGUCCCUAAUGUGGAUCUCAGGGUGUUGCCAACUAUUUCUGUCUCCCCAGCUCUGCUCCAGUGACCUGAGCCAGUUUGGUCAAAUUGCCAUUUGGUCAAGCCAUUUCAUUGCCCAUAGAAUGACUGGCCAGCACACUUUGAAAAGCAGUGAUAGGUGUAGAAGGGCCAGGGCCUCUGUAUGAACUGUGCAGUGGACUGGGAUGACACUGGAACUGAGGGAAAGCACCACAUGUUAGCCCAGCUGUGAUGCUGCAGAAGUGCUGAUCCCACACCAUGCAUGGGUGCGUUUCCCUAGGGACGAUGGAUGGAAGAGACUUGGAUACCAGUGAUCUAGGCUUCAGUCUCUCCUGGGAUAGUGCCCCCAUCCUUACGAAGUAAUAGCCUUAAGCAAGUUUCCCAGAGUCCCACACCUGACUCCCUGAAUCUUUCUUGUUCCGGCCAUAGCACUGGGCCAAGAGCUUUGUUGCAUCAGCCUCCGACUCAGUCCUCAUGUCAUAGAGUAGCUGCUCCAACAGCAGCUGGUACCAGCCCUACCCAUCUAGGAGCUCAUUCCAUUCCUUUAACCUCGUGUGGAGAAAGAAACGAGUCUAGAGUGUUCAGAAAAAUUGAGUGUUCGGUAGGCCAGGCUCAGGACGGGAGAGAGACCUGUAUGUGACAUGCUUACACGCAUGUAAAGGUGUUCUAUGAUGUAUAGACAGGAAGGCAGUAGAGCCCAUUUAAUUGUGAGUGUAAAUAACAUGUACAGAGUGCUUGUAAAUCUCUAUAGUUAGUUGUUGCCCACAGAACAUUUUAAUUGGCUUUUUGUUGAAGUGUGGGAUUCAUCAUCUACAGGGAGAGAUGCAUUUUAUCAGUUUCUCAUAGUUUUCUACAGUUGCCAAAACAUUACCACAAACUUGAGAGCUUAAAGCAAAAGAAAUUAGCUGGGUGUGGUGGUGCAUGCCUAUAAUUCCAGCACAGGCUGAGGCAGAAAGAUCAAAAGUUCAAGGCCAGCCUGGGCUAAAAAAAAAAAAAAGCAAGACCUUGUCUCAAAAAGCAGAGCAUCCAGGCAUGGUGCUUGUCUAUAAUGCCAGCAGGAGUGUUGCAAGUUUGAGGACAGCCAAGGCUACAUUGUGAGACCCUGUUUGAAAACAACAAAAAUGUAGACUGUUACAUGCGCCCUCUGAGGCUUUGGUGGGAAGCCUAUUCCUGCCUCUUGUGGCUUGGUAUGGCUCUAACCUCUCUAACUGCAAGGACUCUAGAUUCAUAGUCACAUGGCCUCUUUUGUAUGCUACAUAUUUCUCAGUGCCUCUACACAGCCCUUCCUCAACUCCCCUGCCCGUGUGUGUGUGUGUGUGUGUGUGUGUGUGUGUGUGUGUGUGUGUGUGUGUGUGUGUGUAGAAGGGGUCUCACUCUAGCCCAGGCUAGCCUUGAAAUAGCAAUCUUGAUAUGGCUCUAACCUCUCUAACUGCAAGGACUCUAGAUUCAUAGUCACAUGGCCUCUUUUGUAUGCUACAUAUUUCUCAGUGCCUCUACACAGCCCUUCCUCAACCCCCCUGCCCGUGUGUGUGUGUGUGUGUGUGUGUGUGUGUGUGUAAGGGGUCUCACUCUAGCCCAGGCUAGCCUUGAAAUAGCAAUCUUGCUGCUGCAUCCAGCCUUUGCUGACUGGGUCUCCAUUGGGCAUUUGUCAUUGGAUGUAGGCACACCCACAUAGUCCACAGCUGCGAAGCUCUGCUUCCUUCUGGCAGUGCUAGGAGUGGAACCCAGUGCCUCUCCAGUGUUAAGCAAGGACUCUACCACUGAUCUACACCCUAACCUCCCACCUACUCUUUAUAGAAGUAAAGUGUAUGCCUUCCAGAAACUAGAACCUGAGAGCCUUGGGGGCCGCUGUGCAGCUUACAGUGCUGCUCCUUUUUUCAGAAAUUGUUACUAAAUCUGUGAUCUAUUGAUUCUUCAAAGAAAUUGUAUUAAUUCGGUUGAAAUUUCUCAGCCUCAGCACUAUUUUAAAAUUUAAUCUGGAUGAUAAUAAUUACUCCAUUGCUUGCUUGUAUUUUUUUUUCUUUAGUGCUGGGGAUUAGGUCUAGGGCCUUGUGCAUUCUAGGCCCUGUAGAUGUUACCUAUGCCCCCAGCAGCUCAUUGCUUUCCUAAGUUUAAAUCUAUGCUGUCCAAUCUGGAACCACUGGACUCUGGCUUUUGAGCACUUGAAAUAUGGCUAGUUUCAAUUGAGAUAUGCUUUAUACACCAGAAUUUGAAGUUAGUAUUAAAAAAAGAAUGUAAAAUAUAUAAUAACUUUAUAUUGAUUACAUGUUGAAAUACUAUUUUGGACAUACUGAGUUAAAUAAAAUACAUUAUUUAAAUUAAUUUCACCUGUUUGAGUUUUUUUUUUGUUUGUUUUUUUGUGUUUUUGUUUUUUUGUUUUUUUUUAGUUGUAUAUGGUCUGGUGUGGGCUCAUAUACAUGCAUGCAGGUGCAGGUGCCUGAGGACCGAGAAGAAAGAAUGGCACCCCAGGGAGCUAGGAUUAACAGACUGAGCUGUCCCAUGUGGUUGCUGG
ensembl:lncRNA